CUAAUGAGCUCUCAGACAACAAGCCUUUGCUUAUAUGCCAUCCAGGAGUGUAAGAGGGGUACAAAGGAAACUCCUCAGCCAAAAGAGCAGCAUUCAAGUCUUGGAUUGAGUUGAACUUCAUGGCAGCUCAAGAAUUGUUGAGAAAAUAAGUGACUUUUGGCAUUAAAUCAAACCAAGCUGCUUGUGGCCAAUGUUAGAGAUGGAAGAGACUUGAGAUCAGAGCAGAUAGAGGCCAAGAAGCCACCAGAUAAUAAUGGACCCAGGUUGAGAUGAUCAAAGUUGGCCUUGAUGUUGUGGAGUGAAGAAAAUCAAGUGCAAUUGAGGCACCUGGCAUCUGUUGCUCUUAUCUCAGGAGUUGAGACACCUCGGCAUGUCUGAAGAGACCUGAAUUUGUCUUUCCAUUUUACAAGGUACAUUCUUGGAGCUGUGACCUUCAACUAGCAUUGUUUGCUGUGGAAAUCUGGAUGAACUACAGGCUGAGGCCUUUUGCACUGGCAUUGCCUUCCAACAGGGAAUACAGUUACAGGUAAUUUCACAGAGAGAAUACAAUUCAAUGGAUAAGUUUAAUCAUCUUCUUGUAAUAUCCUCAUUCCAAAUAGCAUGGUAUGAGAUCCCCUAAGAUAUCAUCCACACUCACCCAUUUUAAAUCUUUUUUUCUUCAUAAAUCACAUUGUUUAUUGAAGAUUCUGUGUUUAAUAUGUAACUGGUUGCAAAUAUACCUUCUGUUAGCUUUCUCUCUUAAAAGUCAAUUCACAACCAAACAUCCCCACAGAGACAAUGGACCAAUCCACAAUCAAGCACUCCCAUAGAGACAAUGGACUAGUCUACUCAGGAGCAGGGAAUACCAUAACUUUGAAGUAGCCAUUUUGCUGCUCCCUCCUGCUACUUCAAACUAUGCACAUUGGGCAGGAUUCUCCCCCCAUCGGGGGUGAAGUUGAAGGCCGGGCACGCACAGGCGUGCUUCUGAUCAGCGUCCCCAAUUGGGGGCGCAACACCAUUUUAUGUGGGCAGGCCAAUUAAGGUCCGCCCAGCAUGACGUCUGCCGCUAUGUGCUCCCUGUGCGGGUGGGGGAAUCCCAAA